AGUGAACGCUGGCGGUAGGCCUAACACAUGCAAGUCGAACGGCAGCACAGUAAGAGCUUGCUCUUACGGGUGGCGAGUGGCGGACGGGUGAGGAAUACAUCGGAAUCUACUUUUUCGUGGGGGAUAACGUAGGGAAACUUACGCUAUUACCGCAUACGACCUACGGGUGAAAGCAGGGGAUCUUCGGACCUUGCGCGAUUGAAUGAGCCGAUGUCGGAUUAGCUAGUUGGCGGGGUAAAGGCCCACCAAGGCGACGAUCCGUAGCUGGUCUGAGAGGAUGAUCAGCCACACUGGAGCUGAGACACGGUCCAGACUCCUACGGGAGGCAGCAGUGGGGAAUAUUGGACAAUGGGCGCAAGCCUGAUCCAGCCAUACCGCGUGGGUGAAGAAGGCCUUCGGGUUGUAAAGCCCUUUUGUUGGGAAAGAAAAGCAGCAGGUUAAUACCCCGCUGUUCUGACGGUACCCAAAGAAUAAGCACCGGCUAACUUCGUG
rnacentral:rRNA from 1 species